UCGCGUGGCAACAGAAAUAUCGUGAUGCGUCAGGUCGUAUCGCACCACGAUAGUUCUGUCGCACCGCGCUGGAAUCAGAUUUUCGAUUUUUUAACCUUUCUUAUUCCUCUUUUUCAAUUCCAGUUCCAUUUUUUCGUUCUGUUCCAGCUCGCAUUUUGCCACUUCACAUCACUUGUUUUCGCACCAAAUUGCUUCAAACUUGUUGCUAAUCUUCACAUUUUCAAUUCCUUACACCGAUCCAUCGAGGUGGAACACCUGGAUGUCCUGCUGGAGUACGGAUGGUUUUCAGAAAUUUUUGUUUCAGCAAGCUUCUCGGCCAUGCGCUCGGCCACGGCAUGACGGCUUGAGGGAAGCAAGACGCCGUCUGACAUCUUCCGAGGUUUUUGAUCAGCCGAAGACCACUAGCCAGGCUACGGGCGUUGGUGAGAUCAGCUCGGGCCGUGAGUCCAUCCCGAUCGAUGUGUAUAAGCUUGGACUCAGUCCUUCAGUGGUUCACCCGCACGUCGUUCCUGAUCCGUUUGGGGAUGGUACGUCAUCUUAGCCUUUCAGGCCUCCACCUCAGUUUGCUGGUGGGACAUUUGAGGUUGGCUCUUCCUCUCAGCAGCUUGUACCUCCUCCUCCGUUCGCUUGCGAGAUCUUCUAUUAGUAUGGCGUUCGGGUUGGCCCAUAGUUCACUCAGUAAAGCGGUCCUAUGCUCGUGAUCCCUAUGAUGGGUGGUGCUAACUCCAACAAGGAGAUGACUCCCCGGACUGCAGAUUUUGAGGGAUAGAUGGGCAUAUCUCGGGAGCCUCGUCCGCUAGAGUCCUAGUUAUACUUGCAUCUUUUCUUUUUUACUAUAGGACUUUACUUAUGUUUGUUAUUUUAUUGACUCUUAUGUAUUUAUAUAUUCAGGCUCUUAUGUACAUAUUCAUUGACUCUAUCGACUCUCUAUUUAUUAGAUUUAUAAAUUUUAAAAUUUGCUUUAUGUGUGUAUGAGUGUGUGUUGUGAGUUUGUCUUGUGCAAGUAUGUGAUUUUGUGACAAAUUUUGCAAAAAAAUUCUGUCACUUUUAUUAUAAUUGGAGGGUAUCCGAAUUUCUCCACAAAAAAAGAAAAAUGAAAAAAGAAAAUUAAAGAAAAAUAAAUGAGUGUAAUAAUUAAUUUGAGAUUCCUAAAAAGAAUUCCAAAUCACUGAAGGAUAAGGAGUUUGAAUUAUCGUAGGAGAUGAUGAGAAUUUGAGAUAAGAUGGAAAACGGUAAGAGAGUUAAUUUAGAUGAAAUUGAAAUAGUACGAGUUCUAUUAGAAAUCAAAUUAAGAGUGUGGCGUAGCAAAGUUGUCGCUGAUCAUCAGGUUCCAUCACGGCGCGAUAGUGCUAUCGCGACGCGUGGUCUCUGUCGCGGUGUGCUGGUUCUUAAAAGUCAAGCUCCGACUGGAAGUUGGCUUCUAUGUCGUUUUUUUUAAUAUUAUAAAUAGCCCCGGAAUUCGUCAGAUUCAGCAUAAUUCGGCA